rnacentral:tRNA from 1 species
GGAAGAGCUCAGUGGUAGAGCGUGCGCUUAGCAUGCACCGGGUCCUGGGUUCAAACCCCAGUGCGUCCA